rnacentral:lncRNA from 1 species
AACAGCUUCCUUAAGAUCUCACUGUUGAACCAACUCAACACAUCUCCACUCAAACUGAUUGAAACCAGCUCUGACCUUCAUCGCUUCACUAUAACCACCAAUCCUGAAAUGCCUCUCCGCCAAGGCAAUCCAACGGAAGUUUGAUUCGGCAAAUCACACCAUCGCGAUUCUCAAUCAAUGGAGGUCUAUCUCUCAUCGCAUCAGACCUAAGACUACGGCCAGGUUCCAAUUCAGAAUCGAGUACCUGAUUUUGGCCGUUCGUCGGACUACGAUUAAGAUCGUCCACCACCGGUUGCGAUGUGUCUUCGUCAACAGAAUGUAAAGAUCUGUAAACUUCUCCUCAAUACUCGUCAUCGAUGCUCGCAAUUGCAUCGUUGAUUCUUGUUGCUCCGCGUAAUUCAUCACCACCGUUUGCGAUAGCGCUUCUAACGUCAUCGCUCUCGUCAUCGUCACGAUCGUUCGAUCCAGAAUACUCUCACGCACCAAUUUGAUAUGAAUUGUAUCGUAUAUUGAAGAAGUACCUCCCAACCACCCUCUCUUAGUCUCUACAAUCCAGAGAACUAAUCCAAUCUUGAAUCUCACACUUGAGAAACAAGCCACUCGAUUCCUAACAGAAUGAAUUCAGUGAACAAACUAACGAGCUUUUUAUAUACAAGACUCGUGUACAAUAUUCCUAUUCUUUAUUUAUAAAGCUAGCAACUUGCC